CCGCGAACGCUCAGAUCUAGAUAAGGUGUACCACGCACGCAGCCAAAUCCCUAAUUCCCCUUCUCCUUCUCCUUCGAUUCCCCACACCCGCCGCCGCCGGGCUCUCCACCGCGCCUCCGCGCUCCACCACGGCGUUGGCCUCUCCCUCGCGCCCCCGCGUCUCUACUUCACGCUGUCGACCUCUCCACCGCGCCGGCCACCUCUCCACCUACUCCAGAGGAGCGUUGCCCUGCGGAAUGGCGUGACGGCCGUGGCGGCGCACGUCCCGGAGGUGCUGCUGCUCGUGGUGUCCAAUCCCGUCGACGACCUCACCUACCUGGCCUGAAAGCUUUCAAGCUUCCCGGCGAGCAGCGUCGGCGGCUCCGGCACCAACCUCCACUCCUCCAGGUUCCGGUUCCUCGUCAACACCCAGGACGUGUAGGUAACUAACUGGAUCCUGAAUCCUGAUCAAGACUUGUGCCCUCACUCGAUAUUCUAGGAUGAUGCAUGGCUGGACAUAGAAAAUGGACUGCUUAAAAAUUAUGUGUGAUUAGUAACUAAAUGUAUAUAGAAAAUGGUUGGGACAACUCUGCUGGAAUAUAAAUGUAGGGCAUCAUUUACUUAUAGAACAAUUAUGUGGUAGUGUUGGUCUUGCUGUCAAUAUUUAUACAGGACAAAAGCAGAACUUCGAUCCAGUAAGUAAAACGCGUAAUUGCUAUAUGUGUACAAUUGGUUCCAUGCCGGAUCCAUGUAAAAGAACACCUAACAGAUCAAUUGAGAAAGUAUCAUUGUUUCCUCGCUUAUUUACUGAAACUGAAUCUCUUCCAGUGCAGUUAGGGCAACAAUUUAAUUCUGAUAAUCAUUUUCAGUUUGAGAAGUUUCUGUUUUUAAAUGCUUCUUUUAAAGGACCAUGUUCAAAUGACUAACCUGUGUUUUGUGCCCAGGCUAUUUAACUUGUUUCUUGAUUAAGGUGUUGAUGGGCUGUAACUAUUUGCCACUCUGAAAAUAUAACACUUUUGUGCCCAGGCUAUUUAACUUGUUUCUUGAUUAAGGUGUUGAUGGGCUGUAACUAUUUGCCACUCUGAAGAUAUAAAGUGUUAUUUCUUCAGGUAUCGUAUCACUGAGGUAAGACGAUGAGAAGAAUCCACACUGAUGUCAUUUUUUGCACAGUAAAAUUACUUUCUGGUACACAUAUCUCAUUAUUAGAUGUGGAGAUGUUUUCUAUUGAUACUUCCAUCUGACAAGACAAAAGAAAGCUAUGUAGCUUCCAUCACAUUUGUUUUCUCCGCCAAGAAGAAAAUGUAGCUCUGAGCACUAACCUAUCUAUGCAGGCACCCUCCCACGCACCUGCAAGCAUGAAUGAAGGACGUGUUUUGAGGUCUAGUGUAACACAAAAUCAUGAUCAUGUAGAUCACGCGCAUCAGCCUUCCAAAGUAAGCCAUCCUGCUGUGUCAAAACUGUAGUAUAU
rnacentral:lncRNA from 1 species